UAGGAACAGGAAAUGUAUUAGAGAAAAAAGUAAAGUGGAUAAUAAAUAUAGUAGAAGAUACCAAUCUUACCAGUAGUCAGAAAAACGCAAAACAAAACAAUAUGCCAUUUAAUACCUAUCAGAUUGAUGAAUAUUACAAAGGUUAAUGAUGUCCAGUGCUCAUGUGGUUAUAGGAAAUCUUUUUGGAAAGUAACUGGUAGAAUUUAUUCAUUAAAAAUAGGCUUACACUUUGACAUCUCACUUUCGACAAUCUCUUAUAGACUCCAUGUAACACAGAAGGCAACAUACUAACCAAAAAAUUCUCACUUCUAUAAAUGUUGUCCUUUUCCUGAGUUCACCACCAGAGUUGAGUAUAGUCCUUUGCAGAGAACAGAGCUAACUCAGGAUAAGUUUAAAGCAAAACUGAUCACCUAUACCCCUAAGAGAUGGAGAUAAGUAGGAAUGUCUACAUACUAGAUAAUUAGGGGUUAUCUACACAGCAUUUCCGUUCUGGGAAAUCCCUCAAAUACUCCCUCAUUUCCUUAUUCUCCCAGGGCUCCACUGCUGUAGGAGCAGCCAUGACUGGGUGCCCGAGUUGGCCAAGGGCUCCAUUCACAGGGAUUUGGGGACCUGGAAACACUGGAACUGGUGGUCUCUCUCCUGCAGUUGUAUGUGUUGCAAGUAAAAUCAUGAAUCCUUUGGCAGUCAUUUUUUCUUCUACAUGUGAAGAAUACAGAGAGAGAGAGAGAAGAGAAACAGACAUGAAAGGCAUAGAGAACAACCUAAGGAUAUUUAACCUUCUGACUUGAUUUGCUCCAGAGGACUCGACUGCAUUCUGGCCUUUCCUGUGACUUGGUUAUUCACCUUCUCCUUAGAUUCGGUGAGAGAUCUCCAAAGUCUUCCAAGAACACAUUCCACAAAAUUCCACAAAUUUUAGAAGACAUGCCCUUCUCUCGUCUAGAAGAAUAUCCCAUCAGUUCAUUGAAAGAAAAUGAUGGUGCUGCUUUUGAUAAACUACCAUAGAGAACAUUCUAAGAAAAGUAUCAAUUCAUAACUGGGGUAAAAGCACUUAUAAACCACAAAUGUGAGAAGCAACCUUUGCACCAUGAAGUUGACCCUGACAAAGUAGUAAUAGAAUAUUGAAGUCUGGAAGGAAACUUUAAAGAUGUGCAACCAAUACCAGUCCAAGCCUAGAGAAACCCAGACCAGAGAUAAGUGAUUAGUCUAAUGUUUUACUGCUCUUGAGAGGCAUUAUAAAAAUCACCCUUCUCAUUUCUAGUUCAGGGAUUUUGUUAUUAAUGUAUGUGAAGCAUUUCAUUUCCUGUCUGGCCAAUAGUAAAUGCUCAAUAAAUUGUAGCAAUUGGUAGAAGUAAUGGUGGUGGUAGUGAUCAUAUUGGUAAUAAUAAUAUCUGCAAAGCUUUAUUCAGUGUUAUAAUCACUGUCUUAAAGUACUUCACAAAUAAAAAUGACUGUUUCU